rnacentral:rRNA from 1 species
AACGAACGCUGGCGGCAUGCCUAACACAUGCAAGUCGAACGAGACCUUCGGGUCUAGUGGCGCACGGGUGCGUAACGCGUGGGAACCUGCCCUUAGGUUCGGAAUAACUCCCCGAAAGGGGUGCUAAUACCGGAUAAUGUCUUCGGACCAAAGAUUUAUCGCCUUUGGAUGGGCCCGCGUUGGAUUAGCUAGUUGGUAGGGUAAAAGCCUACCAAGGCGACGAUCCAUAGCUGGUCUGAGAGGAUGAUCAGCCACACUGGGACUGAGACACGGCCCAGACUCCUACGGGAGGCAGCAGUGGGGAAUAGUGGACAAUGGGCGAAAGCCUGAUCCAGCAAUGCCGCGUGAGUGAUGAAGGCAUUAGGGUUGUAAAGCUCUUUUACCCGGGAUGAUAAUGACAGUACCGGGAGAAUAAGCUCCGGCUAACUCCGUG